CAGUAGCCGCGGUAAUACGAGGGGGGCAAGCGUUGUUCGGAAUUAUUGGGCGUAAAGGGUGCGUAGGCGGUUUGGCAAGUUUGGUGUGAAAUCUUCGGGCUCAACUCGAAGUCUGCAUCGAAAACUGCCGGGCUUGAGUAUGGGAGAGGUGAGUGGAAUUUCCGGUGUAGCGGUGAAAUGCGUAGAUAUCGGAAGGAACACCUGUGGCGAAAGCGGCUCACUGGACCAUAACUGACGCUGAUGCACGAAAGCUAGGGGAGCAAACAGGAUUAGAUACCCCUGUAGUCCCUGUCUCUUAUAC
rnacentral:rRNA from 1 species